GAUGACAGCUGUGUGCUGAUGUGAGCAGGCGAAAACAACUCUGAUCCAAAUAAAUCUCUGAAACCACUUUCAUCUGUGUCUACAAACUGCGAUACUUCAAGAGAAAUGACACAGGAAAUCCGCGAUGCCAUCAGACGCAUGAUGCAGAAGAUGCGGGGCGAGGAGGUAGACGAAAGACGGCCCAAGAAAACCAGAAAAGCAGCAUCGAGCCAGACAAAAGGACAAGGGGCUGGGAAGUCCAGUGAGGACAACUUCACGUCUAGGCCCACUCCGAAUGGCUAUGACCUGACAGUGGCCCAGUGUGGACCCUGAGGGUAAGCUGAGAGCUGGAAAGUAGAACGGCGGGCAGAUAAUGAGACCAACACACAGAAACA